ensembl:snRNA U6 U6 spliceosomal RNA
GCAAAUCAGAAGAGUGUGUUUCUUUCAAAAUUGGAACGAUACAGAGAAGAUUAGCCUGUGCAAGGAUGACCCAAAAAAAAGAAAGAACAUUUCCCAAAGCCC